ensembl:lncRNA
ACAAGAGCUUAGUGCAUUGGAGCAAUAAGUCUGCAACCUGUUGUUGCUAUGUGCAGGUCAGAUUUUGGGUUUAGUGUGACUUCAAUUCCCAACUUCAAUGUUAAUUAUUUUUUCUGAUGGUGUUUUUAAUUGAGCAUUUCAGAAUCUACUGUUUGAUACUCUGUAUGUAUUCAGUAUUGAAUGAAAUUGAUACAUAAAAGAUAAUAUAUGCAGUACAUUUUCAGAUGCAUCAGGGCUUUGUUUUUCAUCUUGCAGUUAUUAGAUAAGCAAGCUGGAGCUCAGAUUGUGUCCCUUUGUUCCUUCAAGGACCCGAGAUCAGAAUUUCCCUUUGAAAUGCAGCUGCUCUCCACCUCUCUCAGCUGCUUUUCCUGUACCAAAUCAAACAUCAAAAUUCUCAUACCAUGUUUAGCUUUACUCAGCAAGCACACAGUUUGAAACUUGGUAUUCUUUACAUUCUACAUAGCUUCUGUCAAGAAAAGAAAAAAGCAAGCUGUGUGUUGUUUUUCAGGUGCUAAAAUCAAGAUUAUUCCUGAACAUUUGACCUAUCUGUGUUUGGGAUGACCGAAGGAAUAUCUUAUUUAUGCAUGUAAUGUUAAUUUAAUGCCAACUUUCCCUUUAAGUAAUGUCUUGUGGUUCCAUGCUGAGGUGUGUGCCCUCAGGCACAGCUGUAAUUAUGAAUAAAGCAUGGUACAGAAUGCAGUUGUGUUAAAAAAGUGCAGCAGAUCUUUUGGGCAAGUGAAAUGGCAGAAAUCAAGAUGUUGCUAAAGCUUGGGCUGCUGGGACACAAACACCACCAGCCUUGUGACAUGGAAAGCUUUUCUGAAAGCUUGGUUGGGUCUGUGUUUGCUCUCUGCCCAGAAGCAACACUUGUCCUCUGUAGUGUGUGUCUUUCUCCUGGGCAUUAUUCUGAGGAACAAGGCAAGUGCAGCAGGCAUCCAGUGUUCUCCCCAGGGAAAAGGAUUAAUAUUUUGAGCUUGCUGUUAUUUCAUUUGCACCCUUCUUUGACUGUUGUGGGGCAGGGUAUGACAGUGUUGAGGCUUAAAUAUUUAGUAAACUCUGUCAUGAAAAGUGGUUUAUGUUCAGCUGUUCAAAUUUGACACCAAACUCUCCCUUGCCUUUUAUUACAGGUGACAAUUUAUGUGGGUGAUAUGGAUAACAGGCUCAGUAUUGACAGGUUUUGUGUCAGGUCUGCACUAAUCUUGCUCCUUGACAGUUUUAGCAGAGUUGGUGAUUGAUGUGGUUGAUUUGAUGGUAUCCUGUAUUUUGCUGUUAUCAGCCAAAAGCAAGGGCCACAGAUGCAAUUUCUGAUUUAAAUCCUUUUUAUGAUGUUUGCUGGCUAAGCUGCCAAUGCUAAUAAGCUACUUUACUCUUAAGCUUUAUCAGUUUGCUAUUAUUGUUGUUAAAGCCAAGGAAAGUACAAAUCAGCCUUGUCACAUCAUUAUGAUAUAAAACAAAUACUGGAGUUGGCACAGAUACUGUAAAAAGGGCAACUCUGCUGUUACUUGAGUCUAGCUUGUUUAGAAGUUACUGUAUUCAGACCUCUUUUUUCAGAAUAACAAAAAUUAUUUGCUGAAAAUUCAUCUAUGCCAAGUUUCUUGCGUAGUUUUAAUUUUUUUUUUUUAAUUUCCAACAAAUUGUAAAACAAUUAAAACCAUUUUUUCUAGUCUUCUUCCCCCCUUAUUUUUUUUAAUCUGUUUUCAGAACUUUUUUUGCUCCCCUACUAAGUGUAUACAUUCAAAUGAUGUAUUGUUCUAAAAUACUGCUUGAACCACGUUCUCAUUGAACUUAAAAACUGACAUUUAGAUCUAUUUUUUUUUCACCUUGCAAAGGGGAACUGCAAAUAAUUGCUCAAUUAAAAAAAAAAAAAAACAACAACAACAAAAAAACCCACAAUACAACAUCCACACCCUAGGGUUGGGAAUUUUUGCUCAUGUUCUUGAAUAUCUUGGGCACUAUCUGCCUAUUGAUAACUCCUAUCCAAAGGGAGGAGGAAGCAAAGAAGAUUGAUUGUGCAACUGAAGAAAACUUGACUGGGAGAAACAAUGAAGAUUUUCCAUCCAGAUCCAAUUAGAAAUUCACACAGCCCCAGUGCUCAAUGUCGUUUCCCUGGGCUUUUUCUGGAAUGACAAGAGACACCAGAGGACUUGAGCUGUCCUGUAGCUCUUGCUGGGUCAAUGUGCGGACAUUUCAACUUGUUCAGUGUAUGCUUGGACAAAGAAAAGGUACUGCUUUCCAGUUCAACCAGUCUAAGCCAAACUGCAUCCAGGUCCUGAGUUAGUUUAGAUCAGAAUAUCACUCCUGAAGCAGAGCUCUCCAUCACCCCCACUUACCCACCUGUAGUUUUUACUGCAGAGCUCCCUGAACACUUCAUUGAAUUCCUUUUGGACAAAACUAAAUGAAGACAUACUUCAGAGUGUUCCUGAUAUGCUCCAACCACAAAUGCUUCUCUCUCUGUAGGACCAAAUUAAAGCUAAUGAAGAAAUCAUUGAAAUGUGCAUUGGAUGUACAAUUGUUUACACAUCUGCUUUUAUGGGAUCACAGAACUAACAGGCAUAGGCAAAUGGUGCUACCCUAGAGCUGUGCUGCUUUUGCUUACAUCGACUCCACCAAAGACCAAAAUGAGGACACAGAACUUCUUAACUUCUAAAAUAAUUACUGGAAAAAAGCAAUUUACAAACCAUGAUAACUACUGGCAGAUUUUCCUAUCCAAGUUCUUUAGCACUGUGAUGCUGCACAGGCUGGGAGUGAGAGGAGUAUUUCUCUUCCUGCUGAGGAAGUAGUACCUGCAAUCUUGCACAUCCUCACUCACUUUGUCUUGUUUCAGUAUCCUGCUGUGGCUUAUGCUUUUUUAAAUGAAGCUGAAACCAGCAAAAUGUCUUUAAAUAUUAUAAGCUUUACAUUUCACUUAAGAGCUGUUCUGGUGCAGCACAGUGUCUUCACUGGAGGUAGUGACUAAGGUGGGGGAAAUCACAGUGGUGAUAGCAGGAUUAGUUCUAAGUUGUGGAUGUGGCUUUUUGUGGCCUAUUUCCAACAUGGUGCAGAGGAAGUACUCACAAGCACUCUGUCCUAGAGCUUUUCAGGAAACUAUUCAUGGGAUGUUGUAAUGCCUCUGCUUUCAUAGGGACUUCCAAUAUCCCUCUGAAAAACAUUAGGGAUAAAAUCGUUUGCUUAUGCUUUGUUUGCUGAGCAUAUUGCUGAAGAAGGCCACCUGGGCAAUGGCUAUUGCCACAAUAGAAAUUCUCACUUAGCCCUUUUCUGUGGCUGUAAGGUGAAUACUUCUUGGAAUUGCACUGACUGAACAUGGUAGUGAUACUUGUGUCCUGCAUCAUAAUUUUGGUUGAGAGAGAGCAGCACAAGCAGUGUGCAGGUGAGUCACACACACACAAGAAGCUCUCUGGGAUGACCUGAGUGCCUAUUCUGUCUAUAACAAACCAGUCUGGGGAAGGUGGACAGAAACAACUGCAAAAUUAUUUUCCAGGCACAGAGUUAAAGCAGAUGGGACUCAGCAGCUCUUUAGGCCCCUGAAUGGACCUGCCUGGAAUCCUUUUUUCUUAAAUAAAUCUCUUGAAGAAAAGCUGAGUAACCAUUGGUUUUUAUGUCCUGUCCCUUAGCUAAAGUCCCAUUUCCAAAACGAAGUAAUUUCCUUCUUAUUCUGGGAGUUGCAAGGUUGGGUCCUAGAAAGGACAAAAAAUUACUUAAGAUAUUUUGACAAAUUGUCACUUAACACAAGGGAGUGCAUUCAUAUAGUGCAGAACUUGUUCAGAAACCUUCUACUGUCUCUGUCGCAUUAAGUGCUCACAAUAACACUGAUUGUAAUCUUUCUUCAGUCUGAUUAAACCUUCAUCACAUUGGUACAAGCUACAUUUUGACAGGCAAUCAUUAAUGUUUAUGAAGCACACUGAGAAUGAAAAAGAUGACUGGUAAUGUGAGAAGCUACGCUGUACUUGAUUGUUCUUGUGCCCAGUUGCUCGAAGUACAAUUGUGUGUGCUCAUAACAAGGGUUAGCUUGGAAACCAGCCAUGGAAUUAUUCUGAUGUCACAAACAUCACUAAUCAAAUGCUCAUUGAUCAUGCAAAGUGGCAAAAUUCAUCAAGCAGGUUUCAUAGACAUAUUUUAAACAAGUUGGGCACCUUCCAGAGAUCAGAUUGAUUGUCCUGUGGGUAAUGCAAAGCAGGCAGCAAUCAUAUUUCCCUGAUGGAGGGUGGAAUGCCUACAGCUCUAGGGAGCAAGUUCCCACCUUUUGCCAGGCAAGGACAGUGAGGCUGGGAGGGAGCAGCAGGAAAGGGAUGGCUUUGGGGUACAGGAUUCAAAACAGACUCUGGGUUUGUUCCUACCUGCACAGUAUGAAUGGAUACAAAUGAAAGAUAACACCCUCCCCUACAGCUGUCUUCCUUACUUUUUAAUAGCCAUUUGCAAUAUGUCACAAAGUGUUUCAGUCAGGGAACUGAUGAGGUGCCCUUUCCAUUUAAUUUUUUUCCCAGCUGAUGUGGCCCAUCUGUUAGGUGUCACUCAAAGUGGUGAACAGAUGUUGAAUUAAUUGUGGAAGUGUCUGUUACCCACGAGGAUUAAAAGCAUUUGCCCUCCAAAGAUGCUGGGCUAGGGUGAAACUUGGAUUAAGCACAGCAAACAGCAAUUUUGCUUCUCUCAAAUGGCCCUGAUGCAAAUAUAGGAGAUGUUUUUCAAUCUCAUAUUUGAUUGUGGCAAUUGGUGAGUGUCCUGCUGCUGCUUUAUUUUCAGGGAAGAGUAGUCUGUUUUUUUUUAGCGUCUGAGUUCCUGUGUCAUAGCCCCUGCCCUCCAGCCUGCUCUAGUGAAAGAGGCACACCCAAUUAAGCCUCAGUGGCUUAGUUUAGUUAUGCAGCUCUGGAUGUGACAGUGGUGGAUCUUAAUGCCUGCAUGAAAAAUCAUGUUAGUUAUCACCAUCUUUUUGAACCCAUAUAAGUUGUUCUGUGAUUCCCAUGUAAGCCAGUAAAGAGUGGCUGUCACUGUAAAGCAGCAACAGCCAGGGCAGCAUGUACAAAGAGACAUUCUGGAAACAAUCACCCCAAUUUUGAGAGGCUUCACUUUGUAAUAGAAUUGGAACAUGCCAGUUUGUCUGGUCAUGCACAGUCCUACACAGAUUUACUCUUCUUAUUAGUUACUCUUGAUAAUUGUCAAAUCCAAAGCAAAUAUUUAAUCCUGGAUCAUUGAUUUAAACUUCUUAAAAUGCAAGUUCUUUAAUUUGAAGAGGCUUAGCAAAUGUUUCAUUAAAUCUGACAGGUUUAUAGGCCCCGAUUUUUCAAAGAAUAUGAGUUUUACCUUAAGUGUCUUCAAAUAUCCAGGUCUUAAUUUAUGUAAGUAUCUUAGGGGCUGAUGAGUGAUACUGAUCACUGAGGAUGCUAAGAUAGUGGCCAGUCUGAAAGAAAUUUACUGCAUGGCCUUAAAUGCUGAACUCCUAUUGAAAUAUUUACUACCUCAAGUCACACAGAGUCUUGGGGAAUUGCUUGAUAGUCCUAAGAGUUUACAAACACUUUAAUGCAGUACAGAGAAAAAAAAAAAUCUAGUCCAAAAGAUAGUUAUAGGAAUCAAUCAAAGGAUGCAGGGAGGACCAUUGCUCUCCAAAUGCUUUUCUAACUAGACUGGCUGGUUAAAUCUGCAGACCUCAGAUUCAGCAUCUUAUUUCCAGCUCAUAACAAUCCGUGAAAAUUAAUUUAGGAAUUGUGGUCAAGAAAUUAUCUAACUUUAUUUUUAAAAACACAGAUGCCAUGUCCUUUUGUCUUUCUUUGAUAGUUGAUGGUUUUGUGUGAUUCUUGCUGGUAUUUUCUUUAUUUGGGAAAUGUCUUGAAUGGAAAUUCCAACCAUCUUCAGCCAUGUAGCACCUUUCAUUAGAAAGAGCUUGCCUGUUUUUUUGCAUUUGUGCAAAGUAUCCAGGCAUUCAGAUAGUUUUUGCAUAGAUUCUAAUAUGUGUUGUUUAGAUUGGCACAAAGAAUUCUCAAAUUAAAUUUUCAUUAAAUUUUUGUAUUGGAUAACCUUUUGGAAAAUGAGAUGAAGGGAAAGAAAAAUAGUGUUUGCAAUUAAAUUAGAAUGUGUUAAGAAUGAUAGAGAGCCUUCUUUUUAAGUUGCUUUUAGAGUUAAUUUUAAUUGAACAAUUAGUUCUUUUUUCAGAGAUAAAUAUCUUCCUGAAAUCCCACUCUAUUCCCUUAUAAGCAUCUCCUCAGAGCCAAUUUGUUUUAGAUCCUCAUCAAGAAGUGAAGUAGGAACAGUAGCUUUGAUCUGCAGGAAUCUGCACAGAACCAGCUAUAAGGGUCUAAAUGAAGAAGAAGAAGUAUGAGCCAGUCCUUUGUCUUUCACCUUUCGUUUAUAAAUUACCAUGGUGAAGUUACAAAAAAAGUCCAUUUAUCUUCACUUUUUCCCAAAUGCCAGUAUUGAUUUUAAAGCUCCCCAUGUUGUGGAAUCACACUGUUGUGAUCCUCUGUGCAGUGCUAUUUCAUACUCUCCAGUCCCUGAGCUGCUGUUGCUUCCAAGGAAAUGUGGCAUAUCCAGUGUUGCUCCCACGCUUGUAUCCAUGCAACUGCCUUUGGCUACUGCUGAAGAGUGUGACACUCCUUCAGCUGCUUCUCUCAGGACUUGUGCUCCAGACCCUUCACCAGCUUUAUUGCCCUUCUUUGAAAACACAGCUAGUUCAAAUAGUGUCUCUGCACUGUAUUUAAUUAUCUUAGUUAAUACAGACAUUCAUAUUCUUAAAUAAAAGGGAUCCUCUGGUAAACAAAACACUUUUUUGGUGUGCCCAGGUCUGUCUCUGGAAUGGUGUUUAAAUCCUUGACAGACAUUUUCACACAGUUUGAUUUUUCUGUCCCUAAAACCUUUGUGUGGCUGUCAUUCUUUCUAAGUGUUAGCUGGAUGGUUAUUUCUGACUGCUGCUGCUAAGAUGGAAAUGAAGAAUAAAAAUUCCAU